rnacentral:sRNA from 1 species
CACCGCCUGGGGAGUACGACCGCAAGGUUAAAACUCAAAUGAAUUGACGGGGACCCGCACAAGUAGUGGAGCAUGUGGUUUAAUUCGAAGAUACGCGCAGAACCUUACCAACACUUGACAUGUUCGUCGCGACCUUAAGAGAUUAAGGUUUUCGGUUCGGCCGGACGAAACACAGGUGCUGCAUGGCUGUCGUCAGCUCGUGUCGUGAGAUGUUGGGUUAAGUCCCGCAACGAGCGCAACCCUCACUUUUAGUUGCCAUCAUUUAGUUGGGCACUCUGAAAGAACUGCCAGUGAUAAGCUGGAGGAAGGUGGGGAUGACGUCAAGUCCUCAUGGCCCUUACGUGUUGGGCUACACACGUGCUACAAUGGCAUCUACAAUAGGAAGCAAAAUGGCGACAUUGAGCAAAUCCUAAAAAGAUGCCUCAGUUCGGAUUGCACUCUGCAACUCGAGUGCAUGAAGCUGGAAUUACUAGUAAUCGCGGAUCAGCGCGCCGCGGUGAAUACGUUCCCGGGUCUUGUACACACCGCCCGUCACACCAUGGGAGUUGGUUCUACCUUAAGGCAGAGUUUAAAACCUCUGACCACGGUAUAGUCAGCGACUGGGGUGAAGUCGUAACAAGGUAGCCGUAGGGGAACCUGCGGCUGGAUUACCUCCUUUCUAAGGAUGGUUAAGAAAAAUUUCUUAACCUAAAUAAUUAACAGGUUAAUGUUGACCGUCCUCAUUUCUCUUCUUAAAAGUGUUUCUCUUUACUGAAUAGGGGCCGGUAGCUCAGUUGGUUAGAGCACACCCUUGAUAAGGGUGGGGUCGAAAGUUCGAGUCUUUCUCGGCCCACCAUUUUAUUUGGGGGAUUAGCUCAGCUGGGAGAGCGCCUGAUUUGCAUUCAGGAGGUCAGCGGUUCGAUCCCGCUAUCCUCCACCAGAAACACUUAGCUAUUAAAACUGUGAAUAAAAUUAAUAAUAUCAAUAUCUAUAUCCGAUUGUUCGAAUAGAUGAACAAUCAAGAAUGUUCAAAUAAAUGAACAUUCCAACAAAAUUUGAUUCAACACAGAAUUUUUUUCUG